UCGUUUCCACUUUAUUGCUCAAGCACAGAACUUGAGGCAAGCCUGGACCUUCAGCAACGUGCAGAGAAAAGGCUGAGGGGGUUGGGGACACAACCUGGCUGAGAAGGGAAACAGAUCCAAAGGGAAAUAUUGGGGGGCGGGGGCAGCAGAGGCGGUCAUCAGGACACCAGAAGACAUCUCAGCCAUACCAUCUGGGGCGAGGACGGGAACAGAGAGCAGUAGCGGGCACAGCAGUGGUUUUCCCCAUGCCCCUAGCACCCACAUGGAGGCCACAUGUUUGGGAACAGACCGGGAGGAGGGAAAGACAAGGAAAAUGGCUGCCCAGGAGUCUCCCUCUCCACCCUGGUUUCACAUCAGACCCCGCAAGUAUCCCUACCACUCACUCCCUUCUACCAUUUGAAAAAUGGACAUAGCAAACAGAAGCAGCAAAAUAAAUUAACGUUCUGAUGAGUGUGCGUGUGGAUGGACAUUCGUUCACAUGUAAUGGGGGAAGGGGGAAGGGAAGAGGGGGUGACAUCACCUAAACCGAUCCCCCAGCCUACUCCUUUCCCCCUUCCCCCAAAGCCACCAUCUAACCAGAUAGAAAAAUAAAGGUCUAAUUCACUCAAAAUUCUUCAGUUUUUACAAAACUAACAGGGUGGAGGAGGGGAGGGAGCAGGGGAGGCAGGCAGCCGCAGGAGUAGGGCUGGGUAGAGGCUAUGCUUCCGUCUCCACCUGAGGCUGGCUCCCUGCCACAUCAUUUUUCUGGUCAUCCUUCAUCUCCAUGUCAGCAUGAUGGUUUCCUGCAGCUACUGCUGCCUUGGCCUGCGGAAAGGAAGACAGGAAGGGGAUGAGUUCCAGUUCUCAUCUGGCCCAAUCCCUCUGAUGAGAAAGGGGACUUUUACUUCAUGUCCCCACUCCCAUUUGCUUGCACUGAUCUGGGGACACAGCUAUAUUCACCUACCACCAUGCUGACACUGUGUUGGGUCUGUACCACAAAUACUCAUCCCAAGUUAAAAAAAAAAAAAAAAACCAAACAUGCUAGCUUUCAACAGAAUUACCCCAACACAGCCAACUCCCUUUCCAGGUAUGUCCUAAAGGCACACACACAUGAAAUUGUAAAUUUACAAAAUCGUUCACUAUGGUGCUACUUAGAACUGUACUCAUCCAACAUGGCAGUUACUACCACAUUGGCUACUGAGUGCUUCAAAUACAGCUAGUUCAAAUGGAUGGGUUUUAAGUAUAACAGAACAGUGGAUAUUUAAGAGAUUUACUUAGUCUGGAAAAAAAAAAAAAAGAAAAAAAACCCAAACAAAUGCAAUUAAAAAAAUUUACCCACUGCUAUAUUUUUUCUGUUCACUUUUUUAACACGGCCACCAGAAAACUUAAAAUCGCUGUGUAGACUGCGUUAUAUUCCCAUCAGACAGAGCUGGUUUAGAACACUGGAAGACUAAUCAGACUGGGUAAGAGGAUAUAGGUUAUGUGUCCAAUGCUACACCAUGUUAAGUACAGCGAAGAAUGUGAAAGCUAUUUUUUAUGUUGGUAAAAAACAAUCUUCUACAUAUGAUCUGAAGACAGCAUAAUGCAGAAAAGAGGUGGAACAUGUGGCCUUUUAUUUAGGGAAAAAGGAGAAAACGGUCUAUUUGUGCAUGUACGAAUGAUCUAAGCACUGGUAAUAUCAAUUGCUUCUGGGGGUGGCAGUCUUUUUACUACAUGUUCUUUUGUGCUGUUUAAAGUUUUUUUGUUUUUUCUUUUUUUUAAGUUUAUUUAUUUUGAGAGAGAGAGAGAGAAUCCCAAGCAGGCUUGGCAAUGCCCGUGCAGAGCCUGAAGUGCGGCUCGAUCCCACAACUGUGAAAUCAUGACCUGAGCUGAAAUCAAGAGUCAGAUGUUUAACCAGCCAACCAGGUGCCUCUGCGCUGUUUAAAUAAAACUACGUAACUGUAUUAUCUAUUUAAACAUAGGGCUUUUAAAACCUAGGUUUAGCAGGUGCCUGGGUGGCUCAGUUGGUUGAUUUCGGCUCGGGUCUUGAUCCCAGGGUCAUGCACUGAGUGUGGAACCUGCUUAAGAUUCUCUCUCUCUUUUUCUCUGCUCCCCCCCCCAUGUUCUCUCUUUCAGACAGACAGAUGGAUAGACAGACAGAUAAAACCUAGGCUUUAAAAAGGUACAGGUUGGGGAAGCACACACAGAGUAACCAACUCCCCACCUCUGGGGCUUGUGAGUGGGUUUUUAGCCCUGAUCACUGAGGAAGUGUGGCCCCCACAACAGGGUUCUGUGCUGAAGGAACAUACAUGUUCUUCCUCCAGAGACAAGGGUAGCUUCUGGUUUCCAGGAGUGACCCAUACAACCAGAGGCAUGAACAGCCACGGCACGUGGGUUAGGCCUAGCCUCCUCUUCUGUCUAUCCCAACUGUUCCCUGUCCCAAUCCUUACCUUGCUCUCCUCCUCAGCUAGCCUCUCAAACAUGUUGGCAUAGAGCUUCUUCUCCCGAGCGAGCUGCUUGCGGAUCCGCUGCUGGCAGAUAGCCAGCUGGGCCUUGGCGGCUUUGUUGCUGGGGUAGAGCUGCAGGACCUUCUGGAAGUCAGCCCGUGCCAAGUCAAAGUCAUUCACCGCCAGGUGGGCCUCUCCCCGGCGGAAAAGGCCCUUCUCGUUGUUGCUGUCCAGUUCCAGGGCCUAAGGAAGCAACAGUGAGACGUCAGUCCCUGCAGCCUGUGGCCAAGACUGGGUUCCAAAGGUAGUCCUCACUCCGCAGGAUGAGGCAGAAUGGAAAUGGCUGGCUCCACCCCAGAAAGGAGUUUCGGGGCACUAAAUGAACAAACCAAGGUUUAAGAAAGAAUCCGUUAGUCCAAGAAGCAAAGGGAAAACAGAGCUUUUUAGGUGAAAGAGAAAGACCCGUGACAACAUUUUCGUUUUCUCUAGAAUAAAGCAAGUAUAGAAGAGGGACAGACUAGGAACCAGGGCCGAGAAAAUGCCAUAGCGGUUUUUCCCAUCCAGUGUUACCUUCUACCUGUGUCAGCUGCCUCCUACCACUAAAGCCAAGGUGCUUGCUUCUCCUACCACUAAAGCCAAGAGCCCUUGCCUCUGGGCCCUUUAUCUCUGAGCUUCCACUAGCCCACUUACUAUCCUACCCCUACCCUAGUCACUGAGACCAAGUUUCAGACCUGCUGGCAGCUACCCAGCCAAAUCCGUGAACAUUGCUCCCAUGCCCUCUCUAAAAGGGCCUCACCUUGUUACAGCUUUCGAUGGCAGCCGAGAAGGCCUGUAGUUUCAGAUGACACAUGGCCAAGUUGAGGUGGGAGGCCAAGCGAAGGGCCUGUGCCUUCUGUGCGUCCUCAUUAGAGAAACUCGACUCAUAUUCCAGCCAGGAUACAAUCUUCUUGUACUGCAGUAAAGCUUGCUUGUACUUGCCUUCCUAGAGAGGGAGGGAGGCUUAGGCAAUAGACACAGGUUCAGGAGCACCAGGCUGUCAGACUCUGUAGACAUCAGUGAUGUAUGGGUAUGAGAAGUCCUGCCUCCCCUCCUCCUCCAGCAAGAGCAGCUGGCUUAGAUCUACUAGGUGAAGACUAUAGGCAUUCCCGCCGCCGCCAUCCUCUCCCUGGCAGAAAAGGACUUCAGGCAUCAGGAGGAAGGAUGGGCCCAGAGGGGCCUUCCCCCAGGCCCCAGAUGCUGGCUCACCUUGAAGUACACAGUGCCCCGCUCUUUCACUAUGGUGCUCUGUUCCAGCUUCUCCUCGGAGUUCAUCUCCCAAGACUCCUUGGCCUAACCCCAAGACAGAAACAAAGCUGUGAGCUACCUCAAGGCCACCUACUGCGACCAGAUUCCGGGACAGAGAAGACCUCGAGCAAGCUCACCUUCUCGAAACUCUUGAGGUGUACUUCGUAUUUCAGCUCAGCAUUUGGUGGGAUUUGGAAUUUUUCCUUCCCAACACUGCCAAAAGCAUAGCUGGGGGGAAGGAGGGGGGCAAAAAAAAAUCUAGGUCACCGCUGCCAUGCUUAACCCGCUCCCUACUGAAAAGGCUUCCUGUCUGUUUCCUGCAGAGUAACUUCCCAUCCCUUGAGACUUGGUUCAAAUGUUUCCUGUUUGGCAAAAUCUUCCCUGACCUCUUCACACAAUUAGCUGGUCUCUUAGCAUCUUCCACAUCCUCCUCACGCACACUACACACUGGGAUGAUUACUCAAUUACUAAUUGCUAAAGCUCACUGAGCAACGAGUCACUAGAAGGCAGGAAUAAGGUCUUUGAAUACCUGGGAAUUUUCAGCAUUAUACCUGGCACAUAAUAGGCAUGUUUUAAUAAAUAUCACAAUGAUGGAGAACAUUAAUGGAAAAUAAAAAUUCUGACAUUGGUAAAGGAGGGAAUCUUGAGCAGCCUUGACUGAAAAGGUUAGCCUUUGAUUUGAGAUGUGGACAACUGUGACCGUGCUCCUAAAUAUGGAGAUCACGUUUGCUGUGCAGAGUUGCAGGGCCCUCUACUGAGGCUGUGGGAGUAGUGAACACACACAGAGGAAAAGAUACAAGUGUCCAGUUACACAACUAACUGUGGGCAUGUGGAUCUCGGACUUUUGAUCACCCAUCUGUUAUACAAAGCACCCACUCCUCACCUGGGCUUGAGGUACACAAUGGAACGUUCUCCUUUUUCCAUGCGCUGAAUGGCUUUCUCCAGCCCACAAGGCAGGUCCAGGCUCUCCCCCUCACCAACCUCAAAGCGGAGCUCCCGCCGGUCGAACAUCUGGUCUUUAUAGUACCCUUCCAGUGUAACUGGCAUGAAAAAGAGGCAAUGUGUCAGGGAUGUGAGCAGGCAGGGGAUUGAGGAAGGAUGCCACCAGCUUCCCUCUAUCACCUCAUCACUUCCUGCCCCCAAGAUGUCUUUGUCGUGUUCUCAGAGCUGGAGGGACGUUAAGAGGAAAUGGUCCAAUCCCUCGUCUCUCAGACAAGAAAUCAGGAUCAGAAAAGGAAGUGACAUGGGGUGCGUGGGUGGCCCAGUUGGUUGAGCAUCCGACUUAGGCUCAGGUUAUUAUCUCACAGCUUGUGGGUUCGAGCCCCACUGUCAGGCUCUGUGCUGAUAGCUCAGAGCCUAGAGCCUGGAGCCUGCUCUGGAUUCAGUGUCUGUCUCCUCUGUCUCUCUCUGCCCCUCCCCCGCUCAUGAUCUUCUGUCUCUUCCUCAAAAAUAAACAUUGAAAAAAAUAAAUAAAUUAAAAAGGAAGUGACUUGCCCAGAACCACCCAGGGCCUAAGUACCAGAAUCAGAACGGAAAUCCCAGACUAUACUGUCUCACCCUCCACGAUAGCGCCCUCAUUGGGCCUGGCAUAGCCUUCACCCCGAGUCCGUAUUCUCCGGAUGAUUCCGCCAUCUUCUUCUUCUGUCAGGUCCUCUCCCCUGAACUCAAAGAGCUCCACCUGUGGGACAACACAUAAGGCAACACGACUCCUUUGGGCACUAACUCCAUCAGCAGUGAGAUGCAACUUCUCCCUCACUCAGAACAGUCCUUAGUAACUGCCAGACCAGGAGUGGACAAAGUGGCACUUAGCAAAAGUUCUAAGUCCCGGGGGCUCUAGUCUCAACUCUGGUGGGGUGGGCCCGUCCCAUGGCUUUUGUUGACCUCAGAAGAUCCAGCCUAUCCUAUCCACGUUCCAGCCUAUCCUAAUCCAGCUACUUGAGAAGGCCAAUCUGGUAGGCAUUGGAAAUGACCCAAUAUCUUUCAGUAGUCUUCUGAACAUUCUCCAAGUAUCCACUAAUGAGGGCUAAGCCAUCCUCGAAAUGAAUGAAGUUCCACCUCUCAGUGAAGGCUUUCCUCAUCCCCUUGACCCACGGGGCGCAUCCCUCCCCUCCUCUGAUCCUAAAGCACUGGUAUUCCAUACUGUCAUUUAGAAUGUAUAGACCUCCUGACCUCUUCCAGUCAAAAUUAUAACCAAUCUCUGGGCGCUGCUCCUGACAUAAAAUAUGCCUCAACCCUCACCCUGCUUCAGGUCCGAAGAGGGGUUUGUGGCCACCUCUCCCCACCCGAGACCUCCAUCAGCUGCUGCUCUCUGGCAGCAGCAUGCUAUGUGCACAGCAGAGUGAGCUGCCCUCUCCCUGUCUCUUCCUCCUCUAAGGCCAGGCCCUUAGCCUUGGCUACAUUGUCUCCAAGCGGCAGGAAGGGCUGGAGGGCAGCCAGGACCCAGGCGAGAUAAGGCUGGUUCUUCGCCUUGCUCUCUGCUCCUGGACACUCACCUCAAACACAAGUGUGGCAUUGGGGGGGAUUUUUGGAGGGCUGCCUGCUGAACCGUAGGCAUAUUCGGGUUUGCACGUGAUGUGGCACACUUCUCCCACCUUCAUGGUUGCUACAGCAAUGUCCCAAGCCUUAAUGACCUCCCCUGUAGGUAUAGAAAGCAAACAGGUCCUCUUUGGCAGGGAUCCGACUCUGGGCUCAAACACUGGCUCCAAAAGACUUUUAUUAUACCACGCCCAAGGGGAGGCUAGACACUCUUUAGAAAAGUAGAAAACUUAGUUGCAAUAAGUGCUGUCAGGUCUCAGACCUCUUAAAAAGAGAAAAGUAAAGGAAAAACAAAACAAAAAAAACCCCACUCAACUCUGGAACAAAGGAGUUUAAGGAAUAAGGCAGUCCAUCCCUGAACAGGAACUGAGGUGUUCAGAGAUGAUCAGGGAAGGUGAGAUAGAGAUCAGAGAUCGAUAGUUACAGAAGAGUAGAAGAAAAAAAAAAAAAAGAGUAACAGAAGAAAAAUUAACAGAGUGUAACAAACCAUUCCUCCUUAAACUUCUGAGAGUAUAGUUUCUGUUUGUGACAGGUUAUACCCUCCACAGAGCCUACACUACCAACCCACUAACCAUGCCUACCUUUGCCCAGGUCAAAGGAGAAUUUGUCCUUGCGGUCCAGACUGGAGUCAAACUUAGUGCCAUCUAACAGCCAGCCAGUGUAGUGGACAAAGACUCGGUCCCCAAUCAUGGGCAACUCUGUGCCCAUGCCCUCUCGCUUGAUGACCU
rnacentral:lncRNA from 1 species